UCUCAGCACUCCCGUGAGACCCUUACCUCUAUCAGGUUAAGGAGCCGGCAUCAGGCACAACCAUUUGCCCAUAACACCUAGUCUCACCACGCCCCCAAGGGUAAUCAGCAGUGAUAAAUUUUGUUUAUAAGCGAUAGCUUGAAUCAGUCAGUGAACAGAGAGCCGGCCAACCCGGUGCCAGCCGCCGCGGCUAUACCAUGGAGCUCAAGUUAAUAACUAUCGGCGUUAAGCGUGAUUAAAGUCUCAAUAAGUUAGGAUCAAAUUAACACUUAGUAGUGAUAAGCUUGCUGUUAAGAAGAACAUAGACGAAAGUUAUCCUAAUAACACACUUGAAUACACGACAGCUGGGACACAAACUGGGAUUAGAUACCCCACUAUGCCCAGCCGUAAACAAUUAACUUACACCAAAAACGCCAGGGAACUACGAGCAAUGCUUAAAACCCAAAGGAUUUGACGGUGUCCCACCCACCUAGAGGAGCCUGUUCUAUAAUCGAUAAUCCCCGCUAUACCCAACCACCCCUAGCUCUUCAGUCUGUAUACCUCCGUCGAAAGCCUACCAUGUGAACGUUUCAGUAGGCCCAAUGAUUCAAUACGUCAGGUCAAGGUGCAGCUCACGGAGUGGAAAGCAAUGGGCUACAAUUUCUAACUUAGAACAAACGAAAGACUAUGUGAAAUCACAGUCAUGAAGGCGGAUUUAGUAGUAAAAAGAAAAUAGAGAGUUCUUUUUAACCCGGCUCUGGGACGCGUA
rnacentral:rRNA from 1 species